rnacentral:lncRNA from 1 species
UUUUAAAUUUUAAAUUUUAAAUUCUAAAUUUAAAUUUUGAAAUUUUAAUUUUAAUUUAUAUUUUUAUAUAUUAAAAUUUUAUAUUUUAAAAUUCAUAAUUAUAUAUAUUUUAAAUUUAUAUUUAUAUUUUAAAAUUUUAAAUUAUUUGUUAAAUUAAAAUAUCAAAUUUUAAAUUUUGUACCAUUUUGAAAUUUAAAAAUUUUAAUUUUAGUUCAAAUUUAAAUUUAGAUUUUAAAUUAUUUUGAAAUAAAAUUUAAUAAAAAUAUUAAUUUAUGCAAACAUCAAAAAAAAUUUGCCAAACAGCUUUUCAAAAUCACUUUAGAAAAAAUCACAUCUAUUUAAACUCUGAAAAACGCUCUACAGCUUUUAAGCAAAAUCACUUCUCCAAAUCAAAAUCACUUUUUCAGAAGCUAGGCCAAACAGGCCUUAUGAUUGCUAAUUAGCACUUCUAGAGAGUUCUGAACUGAGUUGGAUUUAUUUUGGCGCAAAAUGGACACGAAAAGAGACUAAAAAUAAACUCAACUGUAACAUAAUCAGAAAUGAUUCUAGAUGAUCGAAGAUGUUGUGGGCCCUUAGAAGUGCUGAACUCAGGAGAUAGAGGGAUUCGGAGGAUUCGGAUGGUGAACCAGAGGCCUGAAAAUUCUGGAUGGAGGAUCUAAACGCCAAAAUGUAUUGUAGAUGGACCCAAAAU